rnacentral:rRNA from 1 species
UAGGGAAUCUUCCGCAAUGGGCGAAAGCCUGACGGAGCAACGCCGCGUGAGUGAUGAAGGUCUUCGGAUCGUAAAACUCUGUUGUUAGGGAAGAACAUAUGUGUAAGUAACUGUGCACAUCUUGACGGUACCUAAUCAGAAAGCCACGGCUAACUACGUGCCAGCAGCCGCGGUAAUACGUAGGUGGCAAGCGUUAUCCGGAAUUAUUGGGCGUAAAGCGCGCGUAGGCGGUUUUUUAAGUCUGAUGUGAAAGCCCACGGCUCAACCGUGGAGGGUCAUUGGAAACUGGAAAACUUGAGUGCAGAAGAGGAAAGUGGAAUUCCAUGUGUAGCGGUGAAAUGCGCAGAGAUAUGGAGGAACACCAGUAGCGAAGGCGACUUUCUGGUCUGUAACUGACGCUGAUGUGCGAAAGCGUGGGGAUCAAACAGGAUUAGAUACCCUGGUAGUCCACGCCGUAAACGAUGAGUGCUAAGUGUUAGGGGGUUUCCGCCCCUUAGUGCUGCAGCUAACGCAUUAAGCACUCCGCCUGGGGAGUACGACCGCAAGGUUG